GCCUAGUUCCUUAUAAUAAAUUCACAAGGUAAAAAUUAUAUACAAAUAAAUAUACUAAUUCUAUCAUUAUUACAAAAAUUUUAAAAUUAAAUAAAUAAUCUUAAUAAAAAACCUAAAAUAAUUAUAAAAUCAAAAUAGAAAAUAAUGAACUAAAACGUAAUCUUAAAGAUAGCUGGUUUAAAGCUUACUAUUAUAUUUUAUAAAAACAAAUUAUAGGUUAUUAACUUCAAAGCUUAUCCCUUAAAGAAUAAAUAAGUUAAUAUUAAUAAUUAAAAAAUUAAAUAAAAACAAUUAACUUUAAAAAAUUAAAAUUUUUCUUAAGAAACUAGAUAUCUUGGGAAACGAUUAACAUUUCAUUUCAAUAAAUAAUUUAAUAAUAAUUAUGAUACAUUAACUGUAAAUUAUUUAUAAAUCAACCCAAAUCGAGACAAGUAAAUUAAAUACUAAAAUUUUGAUAAACCCUGAU
rnacentral:rRNA from 1 species